UACGUAGGGCGCAAGCGUUAUCCGGAAUUAUUGGGCGUAAAGGGCGCGUAGGCGGCUUUGCAAGUGACGGGUGAAAUCCCUCGGCUUAACCGAGGAACUGCCUGUCAGACUGCAUGGCUUGAGACCGGGAGAGGUGAGUGGAAUUCCCAGUGUAGCGGUGAAAUGCGUAGAUAUUGGGAGGAACACCAGUGGCGAAGGCGGCUCACUGGACCGGUACUGACGCUGAGGCGCGAAAGCGUGGGGAGCAAACAGG
rnacentral:rRNA from 1 species